AGUUGAUCAACAUUUUAUGAUUCUAUUACUGUCAUCUGUUGGAGCAUUUUGCAAAGGAUUGAAAGAAGGAAUGCAAUUGUUCCACUUCAAUGAAUUGCUUUGGAAGAUAGGAAUUGCUUUCUAGGAUAAUAUGUUCCAAUUUUCUCCUUUGAUGUUAAUUGCGCACCCAUGUCCGAAUUCUUUUGCCAGAAUUGGCCUCAAGUAUCUGAGUUAAAUUCCAACAAAUGUCCAUGUCUGAGUACUUUUCCCACCCUUAUUUUGACUGAAAUUGAUACCUGAAUCUUGUGGAUCCAGAGACCUAUCAGUGUCCAAGCAACACUGUUUCUGCACUAAAGAAAUGCUAAAAAUACAUUUUCGAUGGGCUUGAUUCCAUCUCUUGGGUUCUAGGCAUCAAUUUCUUGGGACAGGGACUCAUAUGUUUACCCCUACUUUCAGCUCUAGUAAAGUUGUUUUUACACAAGUGGGACAUUCAUUCAUUUAGGCUUUAGACUAUUUGUCCUAUAGCUUCAUACACCAUGACUAUCAAGUACUCCCUCUGUUCCAAAUUAUAGGUCGUUUUGGUUUUUCUAGGUUCAUGGAUAUUAUUAUGCAUCUAUACAUAGUGUAUGUCUAGAUGCAUAAUAAUAUCUAUGAACCUAGAAAAGCCAAAACUAUCUAUAAUUUGGAACGGAGGGAGUAUGAAGUAUGACUGCAAAGUCAUUAAUCUCCAUAUUAUAUCUGGGGUACGUUGCAGAUAGUGUGGUAAAGUUGCUGAACUUGUGUGUGGUAUCUGAGAAUCUUAUGCUUGUUAUUAUGCUUUGAAAUCUGUAGCAAAGAAGAGAAUUUCUUGGUGGAUGCAAUUCAUGGGAUUAUUUGUUGUCACUAUUUCUUUCAGUUUAACAUUCACGUUUACUUCUGGUCAGACUGGCUGCCUCCUUGCAUCAGAAGAAUUUCUAAAAUGCAUAUUCAUGCGCACUCAUUUACUACUUUCCA
rnacentral:lncRNA from 1 species